rnacentral:rRNA from 1 species
UACCAACUCCAAGAGUGUGUAUGAGAGUUGUUGCAGUUAAAAGGCUCGUAGUCGUUAAUGUAAAUAAGAUGUCAAGUCUGUGUUUAAUAUGGAGGGGCUAAUGGGGAUCACAGUAUACAAGGGCGAGAGAUGAAAUGUCAAGACCCCUUGUGGACUCAGUGAGGCGAAGGCGGUGAUCCAGUAAGUACUCGGUGAUCAAGGGCGAAGGGUAAAGGAGCGAAAGUGAUUAGAUACCGCUGUAGUUUUACCA